AAAACUCAAUUUUUGCAUUAUUACUAGUCAAAUAAGGUUCUUGCAUAAUUAGGCAGAUUAGAACAAUCAGCAAAAAGGAAACAAUCAAGGGAUCUGUAUGCAUUUGUGUUCAUAAUAACCAAGAUAAAUACUAUGUAUACAUAUAACACAAUGAUUACCUGACUAUGUUUCCAUUUCAUGUCACCUAACACAAUCUCCACCAAAAAUAAUAUUCAAAUCACAAAUGUCAAUGACGUUUCAGUUUACCCUCGGUAACAGAAACCGUAAGAUGCUGCAUAUGACAUGAAGCUUUCUCCAUGAGUGUUGAUUGGCUCCUAAUGUGACAGCAAAGUAAAGAUAAACACUACAAAGGAGAACUAGUAGAACAAGAGCUGACAAGAGUGAUCCCGUGCCUCUCCAUGAGUGUUGACCAACUUCCCAACUCAUUCUUAAUUAAGAAGGUGCUAACAAUUUGAGUUGAUAAACAACUUACCAAGUGUAACCUCGCUUCUGGAAAGGUGGUGCCUCCUGCAGUGUGAAGAGAGGUACCUCGAGUUGAUUUUCUAGCAACUGUAUUUCUCGCCUGUAAUUGCCUAUAGGCAUCAGUGUCCCAACGUCUCAUCAAUUCACCAAGAACUUCUGGUGGGAUCCAAUAUGGACGGGCUCCUUUUUUGCGAAUGGCAUGGAGCAUACCUCGUAGACGCUUGGUUGCCCUAAACCUCCAAACUUGAUAGAUGUCAUCCUCUUCCGUAUCAAGAAUGUCAAAGUAUUUCUAUUUUAAAAAA